ACAGAUCUUUUUUGUUUAUUUUUAAAAACUUCUGAAGCAACAACUGCAGUCUGAAGCUUUUAACUCGACGGAAGCCGCUAUUAAAUUUUCUGAACAUAUUUUCGUCCGAUGGUGUGGAUGCCCACUAGGGCAACGGAUGUUCAAGGGAUGAUUGCUGAUGAAGAGAUGAGGAAGUUCGGAACCAUAUUGAGAACCAGUCUGCCCCUGUUUUAUGAACUUCGAUCAAACUCUUCAAUGCCGUCUUAAUCUACAAUGCCACCGGAAUCGAUGACCUGGCAAGGAUACGGGAUAUUACCAGACACGGAGUGAUCGAGAAAUGCGAGAUCCUGGGCGGGAUAGUUUACAAGAUGGUACAGUGGCCUAAAUCCAAAUUCGUACAGGGCAUUGAUUUCACAUCAAGGCUAUUACUGAGAUGUGGAUUACCUUACAGCAGUGAUAUUG